CAAGUUGACAGUCUGUUUUUGGCUAGAUCGAUUUGUUGAUUGGUUAUUGUGUGUGUGUGUGAGUGUGUGUCAGGGUUGGACUACCCGCGGUUGCUCUUCAGAUGGAAGAUAGAUUAUAUAGUACCCUUGGGUUUACUGACUUUUUGACUUGGUGUCUGCCGAUGCGUGAACGCGGACGCGUGGACUCUCGUGUCCAGCUCCCAAGACCAAGGACAAUCAGCUGUACCGGAUGACAACUUAUUUUCCAUUUCCUUGUUUUGUUUUCUGUAAGAAGGUGGAACUUGGGUUUUACCUGUAACCUGUCUGCUGCAUUAGCAGGAAGUAUUUCUUCAGUGGUUUUCUUCAUUCAUUCACGAUGACUCUUGAAUAGCCUGUGGAUGGAGAUAAGUCGGUUUUCCCCAUCGGUGCCGGAAACGCUUCACCUCGAUUUUUUUUUACGGGUUUCCCCAUGAUAAAAUAUGAUCUACGAAAAAGAAAAGUCCGUUCUCAGUCACGUGAUGUUAGGCAAUAUUCAUAGCGAAACAAAGGGAUUUUCCUUUUUGGCCAUGCAAUUUAAUUUAUGCCAAAGCUAAACGGCCAAAACGCUCCUUGUUCCUAGAAAGAAAAAAGUGUAUUGUUAUUUGUCAAAACAAGAUCCAAGGACGCCAUUCUUUUCUUCUUUUUUU